rnacentral:rRNA from 1 species
AACAAACGCUGGCGGCGUGCCUAAUACAUGCAAGUCGAACGGGGAAAGCUUUCGGGUGAGUACUAGUGGCGCACGGGUGAGGAACGCGUGGAUAAUCUGCCUUAGAGUGGGGGAUAACCAGUCGAAAGAUUAGCUAAUACCGCAUAAGACCACAGGAGCUGCGGCUCAAGGGGUCAAAGGUUUUUCGCUCUAAGAUGAGUCCGCGUAAGAUUAGCUAGUUGGUGAGGUAACGGCUCACCAAGGCGACGAUCUUUAACUGGUCUGAGAGGAUGAUCAGUCACACUGGAACUGAGACACGGUCCAGACUCCUACGGGAGGCAGCAGUAGGGAAUAUUGCACAAUGGAGGAAACUCUGAUGCAGCGACGCCGCGUGAGUGAUGAAGGCCUUCGGGUCGUAAAGCUCUGUUGCAGGGGAAUAACACAAUGAAGGUACCCUGUAAGAAAGGAUCGGCUAACUUCGUGCCAGCCGCCGCUGUAACAC